AUCCGCCCGCCUCGGCCUCCCAAAGUGCUGGGAUUCCAGGUGUGAGCCACCGCACCCAGCCAGUGGUUCACAUCUUUGUCUCCCACUGUCAGGAAAGGUAUGGGGAGGAGCUGUGAAAAGAAAUGGGUGGCCACUGGGUAAGUAACUGGGGACCCAGGGAAAAUCCUGUUACUCCCAUGACUCGCCCACAUGGUCCUGAGCCAGUCACUUUACCACUCUGUGCCUCAGUUUCCUCAAGACUCAGUUGAGGGUUGGGGAGUAUAUCCAUUCAUUCUUCUGACCUAUAUUGACUGAGUACCUACAUGUGCCAGGCACUGUGCCAAGUUAUAACAGUCAACAAGGCACACAAAACCUCGCCCUCAGGGAGCUGACAUUGCCAAGAACCCCUCAAAUCUACCCAGUGACCCAGACUGAGGGCAGAUGUCACCCCUGGCCUUGCUUGCAAUGAUCAUGACGCACAGUGAGCACCGUGGCCUCGUUGCAUAUUCAGACAGAUGACAGCCUGACAUGGAAGCUGAGGAUCUAAUCAGUGGCAUCCACAUGGUAACAGGAAGGAAGGAGCCACUGUGGGUCCUUGAGCAGGAGCACGGAGAUAUCAGUGCAAAACUUCAGAAGGGCAAUUCCAGUGGCAAUCAAUAGAAAAAGACCUUUUUACUGCAUGUCACCCUGCCCCUUAGGUGAGUCAAAUUAAGGCAAAUAGCCGAGGCCAGGCCACCCUGUCUGUCCCCUGUUAUAUUUUUGGUUUUGGUUUGUUUAUAGCUGAGUUAUUCCCUAGUGGUGGCAGUGAUGAUUGGGAAUUUGGCUUUCUGAUCUGACCAUUUGGUGACUUCUGGGAAUGAAUGAACGGAUGUUGGCAGAGAACAGCAGGAGUCAGGCAUGUUAUCCUGUGUCUCUUGGAUCUCUUGCCCUGUGGCUAACGGUGUGAAAAUGAAGCAUUAAGCUCCCUCUGUGGCUGCAGUCAGACUCCUGGGGUCUGCCUGAGUCACUGUAUUUUCAGAAUGACUUCAAGUGUAAAGGAUUUUUUUUACCUGAACAAGAUGAUGAGAAGUUUCUCCAUCUGCACCACCUGCUUCCUGAGUGUGCUUCAGACCAUAAUCAUCAGCCCCAGAAGCUCUUGGUUGGAACAAUGCUGCUUUCAAGUGCAUACAGAGUGGUCCUUUUGUUCAGGCACCAGAAGAAAUUCUGAUACUUUCACAGCACCAGCCUCUCCCCAAGACCUUCCCCAGAGAAAAGUGCCACUCAGACCAUCCUGCUGCUAGUGAGUUUCUUUGUGGUCAUCUACUGGGUCGAUUUCAUCAUCUCAUGCACCUCAACCUCGCUAUGGGCAUAUGACCCUGUUGUCCUGGGUGUCCAGAGGCUUGUCAGUCUUUUGGUGCUACUCAGAUCUGAUAAAAGGAUAAUCAUUGUGACACAAACUGUGAGACAGAGGGUUAACAAGUUAUUUUUAUUGAAAAUAGAUUAUUCUGUCACCAGUUAAAUUACAUAAGUAGUACAGAACUUGCUAUUUAAUUUAACUUAAAUGUAUGGAUUUACACUUUCAAUAUGUCUAAAUACUUUUGAAUCAAAUGCUGCCAAUUCUCUGUGGGUUUUUUUUAGUUUAACAUACAUGAUGGAUAGAUACUCCCAUAUGUUUACAAGUGUCUUCUUUUUCAUUUUGAUUUUCAGGCCUUAAUACAGAGAACAUUUUUCUUUCUUUUUGAAGUAUAAUAUUAAGAAUAUCCUCCUGGUAAUAUAAUCUCUCUGUCUUCGUAUUUUUGAGAAUGUUUUAUUUUUAUUUAUUAAAGAUAUUUGACUAAAUAUUAAAUUCUUACACUCAAUAUUUACUUCUCCUUGUUCUGGCUUCUAUCAAGGCUGUGUGGAUGGUGCCUACAAAUUUGUGGCUUACCUCUGUUUUUUAUCUCCCUAAUUUUAAGAUUUUUCUUUCUUUUUAGUGUUAUACAGCUUGACUAUUAUUUCUGUAUAAAUGAUCACCUGUAUUUACCUUUUUUUUGAAAACUAUGUACUUCUGAAUUCGAGAAUUUUUUCUGGCUUUUAAUUUUACAAAAAAUUAUUUCUUUCUAAAAUUACAUUUGUGUCUUAUUCUUUGUAUGUAUUUCAGUGAAACAACUGAAUAUACUUUAUUCCUUCUAAUCUUUGUCUUUAUAGAUCUAUAAAUAUAUUUACAUCUUAUAUCACUUUACUUUUAUUAGCAUCGAUUUUCUCUCCUUAAUCUUCCAGUGCACUAUUUAUCUCAUUAGCUUAUUCUAAGUUAAUAGUUUCCCAAUACAAUGUAUAUUGAAUUUAUAGAUUUUUAUUUCUCAUUUAUUCAAUUUACAGUUAGCUCUUUCCAUGGAUGCUCUUCAAUUUUUAAGUUUCUUCCUCUUUAAACACUAUUUUUGUCUCUUAUUUUAUCACUGAAUUGAUGUAAACAUUUUAAAUACAAUUCCAAUUAUUAUUAAUUUAUGUAGCAUCCAAUUUCUUCUUACUCUAAAUUGUGGUAGCUUAUUUUGUGUGUGUGUGUACUUCAUAACUUCUUAUAAUUUAGCUGUCAUGAUUGGGAGACCUUUCCCUGUAAAUGUCUUCAAUCAGUAUAUUUGUUUGUUCUACUUAACCUGGCACAAUAUUAUCAAUUUUGCCUUGUGAUCAGCCAUUCGCUUCUCACGUUGAUAAAGCCUUUGAAUCUUUUCUUGACUCAUUUGUGUUCCUGGAAAGUUCUGAUAUUUUUCCUUUCAGCCCCAUUGGGCAUUCUAGAGAUUUUUGUAACUUUUGAUGCACAAACUUUCACACUGCACACAUAAAAUAUUUUAGUUAUGUAAUGCUACCACACAUCAGCAUCUUAUGAGAAAUCUUGAGUCUCUUUACUUGAAGCACCCCCUCUCCAAUAUACAGUAUGAUACACUGAUGUGCAGAAUGUGAUUAGUUUAUUAAUCAUAUGUGAAAAUAUUAGUAGCUACAUAUGGCCAGAAUAGAUUUUUCUCUCUACAAAUGUAAGUUAGUGUUGAUAGAAUUUGUUAUGCGAUAUUUGGUUCUUUGGUUUCAGUCUCAAUGCUUUCUUCUUGGCAUUUCAUUGACUCUGUAAAUUAACCUCAGCAUCAAUUUUCUUUUAAAUUCAACAGUUAUUCAAAUUGAUCGAAAAUUAAACUUGUAUGUAGCUAGUUA